GCGUGCGGGAAGAAGGCCUUCGGGUUGUAAACCGCUUUUGUCAGGGAAGAAACGGUCCAAUUUAAUACAUUGGACUAAUGACGGUACCUGAAGAAUAAGCACCGGCUAACUACGUGCCAGCAGCCGCGGUAAUACGUAGGGUGCAAGCGUUAAUCGGAAUUACUGGGCGUAAAGCGUGCGCAGGCCGCUAUGUAAGACAGAUGUGAAAUCCCCGGGCUCAACCUGGGAACUGCAUUUGUGACUGCAUGGCUAGAGUACGGCAGAGGGGGAUGGAAUUCCGCGUGUAGCAGUGAAAUGCGU
rnacentral:rRNA from 1 species